AGAGAAGAUUAAAUGUCUGCUUGCAUUUUUAGGAAUGUGAGAGGAAAGUCCGAACACCACAGAGCAGGAUACUUCUUAACGGGAAGUUACGGUAACGUAAAGCUAGCUCCACAGAAACAAACCGUCCCGAAUUUAACUUCGGGAUAAGGGUGAAAUGGUAGUGUAAGAGACUACCAGAUUCCGGUGUGAAUCGGGAUGCUCGGAAAGCCUUAUCCGGUGCAAUGCCAAAUAGGGAAGUGCGAAUCUGCUCGAUUUAUAUCACUUCUGGGUAGGCAGCUUGAAUCAGGUCGUAUGUCGACUUUCAUUUUGAAAAUAGCAAUAUCUGAUCCAGAUAAAUAGACAUUAAAAUUGCUUAUUAGGCGAUUUACAGAAUUCGGCUUAUUAUCUUCUUUGACA
rnacentral:RNase_P_RNA from 1 species